rnacentral:rRNA from 1 species
GAUCAUGGCUCAGGACGAACGCUGGCGGCGCGCCUAACACAUGCAAGUCGAACGAGAGAGAAGGAGCUUGCUUCUUCGAUCGAGUGGCGAACGGGUGAGUAACGCGUGAGGAACCUACCUCAAAGAGGGGGACAACAGUUGGAAACGACUGCUAAUACCGCAUAAGCCCACGGCUCGGCAUCGAGCAGAGGGAAAAGGAGUGAUCCGCUUUGAGAUGGCCUCGCGUCCGAUUAG